rnacentral:rRNA from 1 species
UGGGGAAUUUUGGACAAUGGGCGAAAGCCUGAUCCAGCAAUGCCGCGUGUGUGAAGAAGGCCUUCGGGUUGUAAAGCACUUUUGUCCGGAAAGAAAUCCUUGGCUCUAAUACAGUCGGGGGAUGACGGUACCGGAAGAAUAAGCACCGGCUAACUACGUGCCAGCAGCCGCGGUAAUACGUAGGGUGCAAGCGUUAAUCGGAAUUACUGGGCGUAAAGCGUGCGCAGGCGGUUUGCUAAGACCGAUGUGAAAUCCCCGGGCUCAACCUGGGAACUGCAUUGGUGACUGGCAGGCUAGAGUAUGGCAGAGGGGGGUAGAAUUCCACGUGUAGCAGUGAAAUGCGUAGAGAUGUGGAGGAAUACCGAUGGCGAAGGCAGCCCCCUGGGCCAAUACUGACGCUCAUGCACGAAAGCGUGGGGAGCAAACAGGAUUAGAUACCCUGGUAGUCCACGCCCUAAACGAUGUCAACUAGUUGUUGGGGAUUCAUUUCCUUAGUAACGUAGCUAACGCGUGAAGUUGACCGCCUGGGGAGUACGGUCGCAAGAUUAAAACUUCAAAUGAAUUGACGGGGUCAUAGCUG